UGAGCAGCCCGAAGGAUUUGUGAAGGAAGAUGAAGGAGAUAAAGUCUGUCUUCUCAAGAAGGCCCUUUUGCCUCCUUCUAAGGUGUCUGUCAGGUUGUUGCAAUGCUAACGAGGUACUAGCUUUUCUACAGAAUUCGUACAUUCAAAAGUACAAGUUGUAUCUUCCAUAAGAAUAUAAAGCCCAAAGGGAAAGGCGAAACCGAAAACCUCCACACAUCGUGAACCGCUUCCACGUCACCUUUUGCUAUCAAUCAAUGCUUUCAUCUUCUUCUAUUGGACUCCCCGAAAAAAGAGGAGACCGAAAGCUCGGUCUGGGAUGGGAGCCCCUUCCAACACGUCGACCAAAAGCUAAUCUUUUUCUAAAAAGUGUCACAUUUUCCGAAAUGCGGCUAGACCGAAAGGUAGUAAAGUGAUGCCAGAGGAGAGAGAAUUGCUUUUUUGAAGAAGCGUAGGCACAAGAAAGGACCCGUCCCUUCCUUCCCGGAAAAAGGCUCUCUUGCUUCUUUUGCUGAACUUGGGAUUUGUGAAA
rnacentral:lncRNA from 1 species